rnacentral:rRNA from 1 species
GAGACCGGCAAACGGGUGCGGAACACGUACGCAACCUUCCCAAAACUGGUGAAUAGCCCUCCGAAAGGAGGAUUAAUGCACCGUAACAUAUAGAGAUGGCAUCAUUUUUAUAUUAUAGCUCCGGCGGUUUUGGAUGGGCGUGCGCCUGAUUAGGUAGUUGGUGCGGGUAACGGCCCACCAAGCCUUCGAUCAGUAACUGGUGUGAGAGCACGACCAGUCACACGGGCACUGAGACACGGGCCCGACUCCUACGGGAGGCAGCAGUAAGGAAUAUUGGUCAAUGGACGCAAGUCUGAACCAGCCAUGCCGCGUGAAGGAUGACGGCCCUCUGGGUUGUAAACUUCUUUUAUCUGGGACGAAAAAAGGGCUUUCUAGCUCGACUGACGGUACCAGAGGAAUAAGCACCGGCUAACUCCGUGCCAGCAGCCGCGGUAAUACGGAGGGUGCAAGCGUUAUCCGGAUUUACUGGGUUUAAAGGGU